rnacentral:rRNA from 1 species
UAAGGCGGAUUUAUCUGCCGCUCAUGGAUGGGCCUGCGGUGCAUUAGCUAGUUGGUGAGAUAGUAGCUCACCAAGGCGACGAUGCAUAGCCGACCUGAGAGGGUGAUCGGCCACACUGGGACUGAGACACGGCCCAGACUCCUACGGGAGGCAGCAGUAGGGAAUCUUCCGCAAUGGACGCAAGUCUGACGGAGCAACGCCGCGUGAGUGAUGAAGGGUUUCGGCUCGUAAAACUCUGUUGCUAAGGAAGAACACUUGAGGUAGUAACUGGCCUUGAGAUGACGGUA